rnacentral:rRNA from 1 species
GACGGGGGGGGCAAGUGUUCUUCGGAAUGACUGGGCGUCAAGGGCACGUAGGCGGUGAAUCGGGUUGAAAGUGAAAGUCGCCAAAAAAGUGGCGGAAUGCUCUCGAAACCAAUUCACUUGAGUGGGACAGAGGAGAGUGGAAUUUCGUGUGUAGGGGUGAAAUCCGUAGAUCUACGAAGGAAGGCCAAAAGCGAAGGCAGCUCUCUGGGUCCCUACCGACGCUGGGGUGCGAAAGCAUGGGGAGCGAACAGG